rnacentral:rRNA from 1 species
GAGCGCCGUAGCAAUACGGAGAGGCAGACGGGAGAGUAACACGUGGGAACGUACCCUUCGGUUCGGAACAACCCAGGGAAACUUGGGCUAAUACCGGAUACGUCCGUAAGGAGAAAGAUUCAUCGCCGGAGGAUCGGCCCGCGUCUGAUUAGCUAGUUGGUGAGGUAACGGCCCACCAAGGCGACGAUCAGUAGCUGGUCUGAGAGGAUGAUCAGCCUCACUGGGACUGAGACACGGCCCAUACUCCUACGGGAGGCAGCAGUGGGGAAUAUUGGACAAUGGGCGCAAGCCUGAUCCAGCCAUGCCGCGUGGGUGAUGAAGGCCCUAGGGUUGUAAAGCCCUUUCGGCGGGGAAGAUAAUGACGGUACCCGCAGAAGAAGCCCCGGCUAACUUCGUGCCAGCAGCCGCGGUAAU